GUGUCAGCAGCCGCGGUAAAACGUAGGUACCGAGCGUUAUCCGGAUUUACUGGGCGUAAAGCGCGUUCAGGCGGUCUGGCAAGUCGGGCAUGAAAUCUCUCGGCUCAACCGGGAGGGGUUGUCCGAUACUGCUGGACUUGAGGGCAGGAGAGGGUGGUGGAAUUCCGGGUGUAGUGGUGAAAUGCGUAGAGAUCCGGAGGAACACCAGUGGCGAAGGCGGCCACCUGGCCUGCACCUGACGCUGAAACGCGAAAGCUAGGGGAGCGAACGGGAUUAGAUACCCGUGUAGUCC
rnacentral:rRNA from 1 species